rnacentral:rRNA from 1 species
UCAGGUAGGAGUACCCGCUGAACUUAAGCAUAUCAAUAAGCGGAGGAAAAGAAACCAACCGGGAUUGCC